GAGUUUGAUCCUGGCUCANGAUGAACGCUAGCGGCAGGCUUAACACAUGCAAGUCGAGGGGUAACAGGGNUGCUUGCACCGCUGACGACCGGCGCACGGGUGCGUAACGCGUAUACAAUCUACCUUGUACUAGGGGAUAGCCUUUAGAAAUGAAGAUUAAUACCCUAUAGUCUAUUUGAAUGGCAUCAUUUAAAUAGUAAAGGUUACGGUACAAGAUGAGUAUGCGUCCUAUUAGUUUGUUGGUAAGGUAACGGCUUACCAAGACUACGAUAGGUAGGGGCCCUGAGAGGGGGAUCCCCCACACUGGUACUGAGACACGGACCAGACUCCUACGGGAGGCAGCAGUGAGGAAUAUUGGACAAUGGGCGAGAGCCUGAUCCAGCCAUGCCGCGUGCAGGAAGACGGCCCUAUGGGUUGUAAACUGCUUUUAUACAGGAAGAAACACUCCCUCGUGAGGGAGCUUGACGGUACUGUAAGAAUAAGGACCGGCUAACUCCGUGCCAGCAGCCGCGGUAAUACGGAGGGUCCGAGCGUUAUCCGGAAUCAUUGGGUUUAAAGGGUCCGUAGGCGGACAGCUCAGUCAGUGGUGAAAGUUUGCAGCUCAACUGUAAAAUUGCCAUUGAUACUGGUUGUCUUGAAUUAAUGUGAAGUGGUUAGAAUAAGUAGUGUGGCGGUGAAAUGCAUAGAUAUUACUUAGAAUACCAAUUGCGAAGGCAGAUCACUAACAUUAUAUUGACGCUGAUGGACGAAAGCGUGGGGAG
rnacentral:rRNA from 1 species